rnacentral:rRNA from 1 species
CCUACGGGUGGCUGCAGUGAGGAAUAUUGGUCAAUGGACGAGAGUCUGAACCAGCCAAGUCGCGUGAGGGAAGAAGGUACUGAGUAUUGUAAACCUCUUUUGCCAGGGGACAAAGGCGGCCACGGGUGUCCGUACGCGGGUACCUGGAGAACAAGCAUCGGCUAACUCCGUGCCAGCCGCCGCGGUAAUACGGAGGAUGCGCGCGUUAUCCGGAUUUAUUGGGUUUAAUGGGUGCGCAGGCGGCGGGUCAAGUCAGCGGGAAAAUGUCGGGGCUAAACCCCGGCCGGCCGUUGAAACUGGCGGGCGCGAGUGGGAGAGAAGUAGGCGGAAGUCGUGGUGUAGCGGUGAAAUGCAUAGAUAUCACGAAGAACCCCGAUUGCGAAGGCAGCAUACCGGCUCCACACUGACGCUGAGGCACGAAAGCGUGGGUAUCGAACAGGAUUAGAUACCCUGGUAGUC